GUGCUUGCUUUGGCAGCACGUAUACUAAAAUUGAAUGAUACAGAGAAGAUUAGCACGGCCCCUGUGCAAGGAUGACAUGCAAAUUUAUGAAGCGUUCCAUAUUUUA
rnacentral:snRNA from 1 species